ACAAGAUAGACCCCAGGGGCCUGGCCUAUAGCACAGAGAGUCAGGAAGCACCAGGACACCCAGACACCUUUUUACUGCACUUUUCUCUAAGGUUUGCCUUCUCUUCACUUCCCUGGAAGCCUUCGAAGCCAGGACCCAUGAUGAUGCCCCAUUUUCAUCCUCCUAAGAAGCAUGUGCUGCCUGUCAGGAGAACCAGCCCCUUGGACACCAGCUGUUCUUUUCAUGUUCAGAGGGACAGAAAUCAGCAGAAGAAUCAGAGCAAAACAGCCACCCUCUCCCACUCACUCCUUCUCACCACUGAUAGCAGAAG
rnacentral:lncRNA from 1 species